AUCAAAGGUGAUAUAUUUUUAGUUAGUAUUAAAAUUACGGAAAUCAAAGGUCAUUAUUACAUAACAACACAAAACAUUUAUUCAGACUUUAGUCACAACAGAGAGUAUUUGGAACUUAAAGAAACCGAGAUAAUGUAUAUUAUAUGAGUCAGUGCUUCAUAGGUCACGAGUACUACGAUACCAUUCUUUUAUAUCAGGCCCUUUACGAAAUGGAAAUUUUGCAGGUAAUUUCAUAAGGUGCCAUUAGUGCUCCUAUGUACUCGAUGAAAAGCUCGUCCAUGAUACAGUCACAUUACCAUACUGCAUUUCCCCUAAAGCAUCAGUAGAAGGCAAGUAAAUGAAUAUUCAUGUUUGAUACUCAAACAUAUGAAUUAGUUUUUUACUCACAUAAUCAAUGGUGACAGGAUCUAAGACUUGCCCUGGGGUUAACGGAGUUUGUUUCCCAACGUAUUCUGAUUGCAGCAGCUGCUAAAGAGUUAUACAAAGUUGCAAAAUCACACGGCUAUAGUGAUGAGGACUUUUCAACAAAUAUUUUAUGUGGAUGGUCCUUCUCUAAACCAGUUUUAUUUUGAUUUGUUCUUGUAUACCAUAUUUCUUACACAUUUUGUACGAUAAACACUUAAUUUGAAAUGUAAAUGAUCUCUCAAUUUUACUAUGCACAUUAAUGUACUUUUUAUUUAUUUAUGUAGUUGAUAAAUAGUUAAAAAAAAACAGAUUUUUAUAGCAAUUUUUUAUUAUUAUUAAGAGCUCAAUUUAGAGAUCGGAUUAGUCUCCAAUUUAUUUUAAAUUUUGCUAUAAUCGGUUAUUGAUUCAAUAUCACAAAGCAAUCGGUAAACUGAUCUCUAAAUUGGUAGCUAUAUCAAACGCGCAAAAAUCACAACUUGCAGCAUGAACAAAAAGUACAUAAGGCAAAGGAUUCAUUUUAUACCAUAAUCCAAUUUCACGGUCGUUCAUUUAUAGAUGAUAAAAUGAAAACAAAGUUAAAGGGUUGCGGAUGAGACACUUUUGAUUGUUUGCGGAUGAUAAAGUGAAAACAAAGUUAAUAGUUUUUUUUUUAAGUUUAAAAGGUUUUAAAUCAGUUAACCAACUAUGAGUAGAUAACUUGGGAGUUGAGCAAUAGAUUUGGUUAACUAGCUUAAAAUCAUCCACCUUUAACUUUGUUUUAACUUUUUUUAUCAAAAAACAAUCAGAAGUGUGUCUCGUGUCCAAUGACACUUGUGAAUAAAUAGUGAGAUUUAUUUAAAUUAUUAGCAGUACAAAUGUGGAGUUAUGUGUAUAUAACUGAGGAGUUGAGGAACAUAUAUUUGGUUAAUUGACUUAAAAUAUAUUCCUUUAAAUUAUUAAUAAUACAUAUGUGGGGAGUUAUGUGUAGAUAACAGGGGAGUUGGGCAAUAUAUUUGGUUAAUUGCCUUAAAAUCUUCCAAACAAGAAAACCGUUAAAAGUGUGUCUCAUAUACAAUGACAUUUAUGAUCAAACGGUGAGAUUCCUUUCGAUUAUUAAUAAUACAGAUGUGGUGAGUCAUGUGUAGAUAACUAGAGAUUUGGAGAUCCAAUUAAGUUAAUUGGCUUAAAAUCUACCAAACUUGAAAAAAAUCUUUCACCUUUAUCAUUGUUUUAACUUUAUCAUUUGAAAAUAGUCAGAAGUGUAAGUCCCAUAUACAAUGUCACUUGUGAACAAAUAGUGAGAUUUCUUGAAAUUAUUACAAAUACAAAUGUGGAGGAGUCGUGGGUAGAUAUCUAGGGAGUUGGGAAAUAAAUUUGGUUAACAAGCUUAAAAUCUUCCAAUCUUAAAAUAUUAUUCACCUUUAACUUUGUUUUAACUUGUCAUCUACAAACAAUCAGAAAUGUGUCUCGUGUACAAUUCCACUCUUGAACAAAUAAUGAUAUUUCUUGAAAUUAUUCACAAUCUAGGUGAGGGGAGUUAUGUGUAGAUAAGUGGGGAGUUGGUGUACAAAGUUGGUUAAGCAGUUUAAAAUCUUCCACAUUUGAAAAAAUCAUUCACAUAUAACUUUAUUUUAACUUUAUCAUCUACUAACAAUCAGAAAUGUGUCUCCUGUACAAUUCCCCUCUUGAACAAAUAAUGAUAUUCCUUGAAAUUAUUCACAAUCUAGGUGAGUGGAGUUAUGUGUAGAUAAGUGGGGAGUUAGUGUACAAAGUUGGUUAAGCUGUUUAAAAUCUUCCAAAUUUGAAAAAAUCAUUCACAUUUAACNNNNNNNNNNNNNNNNNNNNNNNNNNNNNNNNNNNNNNNNNNNNNNNNNNNNNNNNNNNNNNNNNNNNNNNNNNNNNNNUAAGAAGUUUAAAAUCUUCCAAAUUUGAAAAAAUCAUUCACAUAUAACUUUGUUUUAACUUUAUCAUCUACUAACAAUCAGAAAUGUGUCUCCUGUACAAUUCCACUCUUGAACAAAUAAUGAUAUUCCUUGAAAUUAUUCACAAUCUAGGUGAGGGUAGUUAUGUGUAGAUAAGUGGGGAGUUAGUGUACAAAGUUGGUUAAGCUGUUUAAAAUCUUCCAAAUUUGAAAAAAUCAUUCACAUUUAACUUUGUUUUAACUUUAUCAUCUACUAACAAUCAGAAAUGUGUCUCGUGUACAAUUUCACUGUUGAACAAAUAAUGAUAUUCCUUGAAAUUAUUCAAAAUCUAGGUGAGGGGAGUUAUGUGUAGAUAAGUGGGGAGUUGGUGUACAAAGUUGGUUAAGAAAUUUGAAAUCUUCCAAAUUUGAAAAAAUCAUUCACAUAUAACUUUGUUUUAACUUUAUCAUCUACUAACAAUCAGAAAUGUGUCUCAUGUAUAAUUCCACUCUUGAACAAAUAAUGAUAUNNNNNNNNNNNNNNNNNNNNNNNNNNNNNNNNUCCUUGAAAUUAUUCACAAUCUAGGUGAGGGGAGUUAUGUGUAGAUAAGUGGGGAGUUGGUGUACAAAGUUGGUUAAGAAGCUUAAAAUCUUCCAAAUUUGAAAAAAUCAUUCACUUAUUUUUUACUAUUUGUUCAUGAUUGACAUUGUAUAUGGGGUACAAUUCUGUUUGCUGAUGAUAUAUUUGGUUAAAUUUAAAAGAUUUUAAAUUAGUUAACCAAAUAUGCUCUCCAACUCUCUAGUUAUCAACGCAUGACUCUCCACAUCUAUAUUAGUAAUAAUUUCAUAGAAUCUCACUAUUUAUUAGAAAGUAAAAUUGUAUAUGCGACACACGUCUAAUUGUUUGCAAAUGAGAAAGUUAAAAAAAAAAAUUAAAAGUGAAUGAUUUUUUCAAGUUUGAAAAACUUUAAGAGAACUAACCAAAUAUGUUCUUCAACUUCCCAGUUAUCUGAACAUGACUCUCCAUACAUGUAUUGGCAAUAGUAAAAUUCCUUUAAAUUAGUAGUGACGUCUCCGAGUUUUAGGGGGCUCUGUGCAAAAUAUAAAAGUUGCCCCUUAAUAAAAAAAUAUUGUCGAUCUAAAUUGUAUAUAAUACAUAAAAAAUCACUCUUAUUCUUGUAAACAUGUAAAUUACCAAUAUUAAAUCAAAUGGGACAAAGAAUACAAAACAAUUAUCUUUGUAUAUAACAUCAAAAAGGAACAUCAUAAUCUAAGAUUAAAUUUUAUGCAAAUAUUAAAAUGGACUAGAACUAUAUUUACGAGUAUAGAUAACUAAUCUAUUGAUACUCAUAUGAUAUUUUAUGAACAUUAACAAUAUAUAACUAUUACUUUAGGGCCUAAAAAUUAAUCAAUUAAUAUACAUAUGAUAUUUUGUAGGUAUAAAUAAUAUAUAACUAAUAUUAUAGGACCUCAAAAUAUUGAGUUGAGCCUGAUUCCGUCGCACAUGUGUGCAGGCCGCCUCUGUAAAUUAGUAACAAUACAGACGUGGGGAAUUAUGUGUAGAUAAUUGGGGAGUUGGACAACAAAUUUGGUUAACUGACUUAAAAUCUUUUAAACAUGAAAAAAGAAUUCACCUUGAACUUUUUUUUAACUUUUUUUGUCUGAAAACAAUCAGAAGUGUUUCUCAUUUGCAAUGCUACUCGUGAAUAAAUAAUGAGAUUCCUUUAAAUUAUUAACAAUAUAGAUGUGGGGAGUCAAUUUUAAAUAUCUGGGGAGUUGUACAACAUAUUUGGUUAACUACUUAAACUUAACAAAUAUAGAUGUGGAAUGUAAACUUAACAAUAUAAUUAUACUAAACUUAGAGUUUACUCUAAUGCACUGCAUUCACUGUCACCAAAGUUUAAAAUUACAAUUUAGCUCUAAAUUGAAAUAGGUGAGCAUCAUUACAUCCCAUACACAAUAUGAUACAAAUAUAUACCAAGUACAUAUGCAAUAAACAAUUCUCAUGAUAGCAAAAUGAUGAUAAGCCAACAUCCUCAUCCUGCUGUCAUUGUGUUCAAGCAUCGUCAUCUAGUGUUGAUUGCACAUCUGAUACAUGUGCAUGCUUAGCCGCUUGUCAGCUUAUGCUGCAAAUUAAAUACGCAUAAGUUGAGACUCCAGACAUUGAAACAAAUGAUAUUAGACCAUCACACACAAAAUUUUGAGGAUAAAAAAAAAGCUAAAAGCAUGAGAUUACUGUCAAUGGCUUCUCACCAUUAUGUUAUUUAUCAACUAGUAUUGAUGUCUGUUUUCAUCUUCAUAUAACAUAAAGGUCUUUACUACUAAAUUUCACUCUUUUUCAUUAUGUAUGGUAAGCCUUUCUUGUCUCCUCAAGUACAAUACAUUUGGACAUUUAAAUUCUCUAUAGUUACAUCUAGUAUCUAUUCUACACAAAUAAAAGAAGAAACAUGUGUAACAAAUACAAAUAUUGUAAUAAUAACCAUGUAAUGAAAAAUAUUAUGAUAAGAACAUAUAUACAUACAUCAGUAUAAUGAUAAGAACACUAGACUAGAUUAACUAGUUGGAACUCAGUUUUAAUACAAUCAAAUCAUACAAAUCAAUAAGACAUCUACAAAUCAUUAAUUAUAGAUUUGUUACAUUCUUUUGGCAUAACAAAUCAUUUAAAUGUUCUGCUCUCUUACCUUAGUUUUGGGAUACCACAUGUAAACAAAGAGAGCAAGCUUCAAUUCUCCAUACAAGGGCAACCUGCAUAAAAGUUGAGCGUUAAUUUAUUGCAAAAACCUAUAUUAUUAAUCAAAAUUCAACAACAAUGCAAAUGAAAUGACUAAAAAUAUAAGCACUCACCACCCAGUAACUACAUCUGCAAAUUUUUCUAGUACUGUGAAAAAAGCCACAAUGAUCCUGCAAAUUAAGGAUGCAGAAAGACAUAAAUUAGGGGCACUAGCUCACAAUUCAAUUAUAUGUUCAAUGCCUCAACGAAAAAGGCUGCUAAUUAAGAGUUACCAGGUUUGCCAACUAUUUGACACUAAACAUUAUUUUCAAUAGGACAAAUGUUCAAAUACUCUACAAGUAUAUAUAUGAAUUAAAAUCAAAUGAAACAAAAGCCACCAGAUAUCUAGUGAAAUCAUUUCAAUGAAAUAUUCAAGUAUGAAACACAUUGGAAAGAAAAAAAGACAAAAAUAGCCCGCUAGAAUUAAUACACAACACGCUAAAAUGCAAAAACUUUUGAUAUGAUCAAAGGAUGGUUCAAAUAAUAAUCACAAAUUCUAACAUGAUCAAAGGAUUGUUCAAAUAAUAAUCACAAAUAAUUGAUUGAUAAUUUAUUAGCAAUUAACAUUCAUUAUUUCAAUUAAAAUCAAGUAAAUCAGCAGAGAUCUAGAGCAAGAAGAAUACAAUGUCAAUGAGAACACACAUACACAGGAUCCCAAAAUUCACAGUAUAGGCUACAACAACAUAAUGAAAAUGAUAAAGCAAUUAAAUAACACAGUUAAACAUACCAUUCGUUAUAUCCUUAAGCUGAGUAACGCGUCCCUGCAAAAAAUAUACCCAAAUCCAAAUGAUUAAAACAAGAACUCAAUAUCCCUAAAAAACAAUUACCAGAAUAGACAAGAUAUCACUUACUAUCAUUGUCUUCAAUGCACUCUUCUGAAACUGAGCAGCCACCCUUACUCAUAAUACUAUGCGUAUAAGAAAACGUUCUUCAGUAUAGUUAUACAACAAUUUUCUACGAUUCAGAUACAUGAACCUGCUAUCUCAUUCUUUAAAAGAAUGAACAAAACUAGUGAAGUUGAAGGGUGGACUUAACCUUGUAAAGGAGCUGAACUUUUUGUACAUGGUGUAGUAAAACUCAACCAGUGUCAUACUUUUUAUCAAAGUCUGAGUUACUCACUAACAACCUACCUAUUCAUCCUGAAGAAAAACCAACUAUAGUUACCAUUUUACCAAAAGGAAGGUUAAAGCAUG
rnacentral:lncRNA from 1 species